AUGAGGCGAGCCUUUCUGGGAGGGUGGCUUACACAUGCCACCAGAGAAUUUCACCGAAAAAUGUACGCCUUUCUGCGAGGCGGCUUCCACAUGCCACACGGAACAUUUCACCGAAAAGGCUUAGCGAGGCGCAGUCAAGGUAAUCAAGACAGAACAGAAUUCUUACACCUCAACGUGGUGGUGAGGCUUACGCCGUACACGACGGUGUAUAAAACGCUUCACUUUAUGCCUUGUGAUCUGUUUUCAUAA
rnacentral:lncRNA from 1 species